AUCGAAUACUCACAACAGAAAAAGAUAACGGCAUAUCAAUAAUCCUUUCAAAACAAAUAUUUUGGAAACAUUUCCUUGAAUAAAAAGCACAAAUUAGUUUAUAUUCCAUAUAUAUGCACUGCACGUGUUAUCUACCUUCUUUGUAAACAAAGAUACUAGUAUAGAAAAUCAUUCAGGCGAAAACAUGAAUUAUAUCCGGAUCAAUGAAAAUUUGUGUACUAACAUAAUUAACCAUAAUAGAUGUUCUAUACUAAUUUUAACGAGGCCGGG
rnacentral:lncRNA from 1 species